UUACGGCCACAUCAUGUUGAAACACCAGUUCCCGUAUGAUUACCAAAGUUAAGCAACAUCAAGCCUGAGUAGUACUUACAUGGGUGACCACUUAGGAAUACCAGAUGCUGUAAG